AAUUUUGGACAAUGGUGGAAACCCUGAUCCAGCCAUCCCGCGUGUAUGAUGAAGGCCUUCGGGUUGUAAAGUACUUUUGGCAGAGAAGAAAAGGUAUCUCCUAAUACGAGAUACUGCUGACGGUAUCUGCAGAAUAAGCACCGGCUAACUACGUGCCAGCAGCCGCGGUAAUACGUAGGGUGCAAGCGUUAAUCGGGAUUACUGGGCGUAACUCGGUUGUAGGCGGUUCGUAAAGAAAGAUGUGAAAGCCCAGGGCUCAACCUUGGAACUGCAUUUGUAACUGCAGAGCUAGAGUAUGUCAGAGGGAGGUAGAAUUCCACGUGUAGCAGUGAAAUGCGUAGAUACGUGGAGGAAUACCGAUGGCGAAGGCAGCCCCCUGGGAUAAUACUGACGCUCAGACACGAAAGCGUGGGGAGCAAACAGG
rnacentral:rRNA from 1 species